rnacentral:lncRNA from 1 species
UUGUAAUAAUUAUUUGUAUAUAUAAUAAAAAUAUAGCACAUCAAAAUUUAUAAAACUCUUAAAGUAAUCUAUUUUUGGUUCAACAAACACAAUAUUUAAAACAACAAUCAGAAGAGUUACAAUUAAAGCAACCAAUAACUAGCUCCUCCGACAAGCCUAUUCAAAUCCUCUAUAUAUGUAGUUUCUCUAUUUGUACAGUUUUUCUAUUCAUAACUUGUCUUUACAUUUCUGUUUACUAUUAAGAAUGUCAAAAUACUUAUACUUGCACUCCAUUUUUACUUGCUCGUUGAUCACUUGUGGUCGAGGCUUUUACUAAUUCCAGAAUGCAUAAUUCAUGGCCAUCCAAAUAAGAAUCUGCACAAAUAAUAAGUUUAUAUAAUGAAGCAUGUAUAUAUUCAACACUUGAAAUUUUAAAAACAAAAAUUGUAAUUCCUAACCUAAAUUGAAUAGGGAAAACACUUAACUCAAAAUUUUAAGCAAGGGUGGAAAUAAACUUACACUCUAUAUGUUCAUCCAUACAGUUAAAGAUGAAUAAUUCCAGCUAGUUCAAGACCGCCAUGUGGACCAUUCUUGUAGGCAUGUUUUAUACGAAACAAAAUGUUAUGUGUAGCCAGAUAUGCAAGAGUUAACCAAAAAAUAUCAACUUCAUUAGUUUAAAAUUUUUGUCAUUUAUAUGGAGUAGGAAACACAAAUAAACUUGACAACAUGUAUAUCUUGAAAUACAAGAGAACUCAAACUUUGAACCAUGGCUAAAUACAACAAUUGACAAUUUUGAAAGUUAAAACACCUUCUCUUCAAGACUUUGAAUUCAUUCACUCAAGGUGUUCUUGAUGUACAAUAUGGAUAUCACUAGAUUUUCAAAUAGGAUCAAAAUAAGUUAUCAGAUGUUAGCCCACAUUUAGAUAAACACAAAUCUGGACAAUUUCAUAUUUNNNNN